rnacentral:rRNA from 1 species
UACGGAGGGUGCAAGCGUUAUUCGGAAUCACUGGGCGUAAAGGACGCGUAGGCGGGUUGCCAAGUCUGAUGUGAAAUCCUAUGGCUUAACCAUAGAACUGCAUUGGAAACUGGUGACCUAGAGUAUGGGAGGGGGAGAUGGAAUUAGUGGUGUAGGGGUAAAAUCCGUAGAUAUCACUAGGAAUACCGAAAGCGAAGGCGAUCUCCUGGAACAUAACUGACGCUAAGGCGUGAAAGCGUGGGGAGCAAACAGG